rnacentral:rRNA from 1 species
UACAGAGGGGGCAAGCGUUGUUCGGAAUUACUGGGCGUAAAGGGCGCGUAGGCGGCCUUCUAAGUCGAACGUGAAAUCCCUGGGCUCAACCCAGGAACUGCGUCCGAUACUGGAAGGCUUGAAUCCGGGAGAGGGAUGCGGAAUUCCAGGUGUAGCGGUGAAAUGCGCAGAUAUUGGGAGGAACACCAGUGGCGAAGGCGGCACUCUGGGCCAGUACUGACACUGAGGAGCGAAAGCGUGGGUAGCGAACAGG